rnacentral:misc_RNA from 1 species
UCCAAUCCCUCAAUGUUUCCUCUGUGAGCUUCUCAACAAUUGUCCCUCUCUCAGGAUCAUCUAGAAGUCUAAGAAGAGUGCUAUCAGCACUAAGGAGAUCUCUUACAGAUUCAUUGUAAAUCUCCAUAGCAGAGAACUUCAACAUAAAGUCUCUCUCCGAGUGCUUCUGAAUGUACUCAUAUAUAUCAGCUAUAGCAUAUUCAGUUAUACCAGUCAUAGUAUACGUCUUUCCACUGCUCGUUUGUCCAUAUGCGAAUACGCUUGAAUUGAAUCCAUUGAGGACAGAAAGAGCAACAUCUUUAGCAGCUUCUUCAUAAACCUGUCUUGUGGAGCAAUUAGUCCUAAAUACCCUGUCAAAUGUAUAAGCAGAGGGAUACAUAGAGCGUUCAGAUACAGAAAGAUUAACAUUUUUGUAAAUAAUUGUAGUGUCAUUAAUACACUCCCAAUCUGAAGCAUCAUUUCUUAAAAUUUCUUUAUCAUUCAAAGGCCUUAGACGCACCGACACCAAAAUUCUUUCUUCAUCCUUCACCACCUCAUCAACAGUCG